rnacentral:lncRNA from 1 species
UUUGUGAGAGAUUGAAUCUAGAGAGCUUUGUAAGGGGCUUUAAGGGUGAGAGAUCUCUUUGUAAACUCUGUGAAUAGUGGAUUCCGGGAGACAGAUCCCGGCCCAGACGUAGCGUCGGUUUGACGUGAACUGGGUUAACAAUCUCUUGUGUGCUCUGCUUGUGAUUCUCUGUUUGUUGUUUCUUUGAUCUAUUGGUGUUGUUUGUGGUGUUGGUUGAAGUUUCAUUUCAGGUUUUCAAGCUCAGUUUUCU